ensembl:lncRNA
GCAAGAAUAGUGGAGUAGGUUGCCAUUUCCUUCUCCAGGGGAUCUUCCUGACCCAGGGAUUGAAGCCGUGUCUCCUGUUUGGCAAGGAGAUUCUUUACCACUGAGCCACUUGGGAAGCCCAGGAACAAAGACCAAGAAACUGAAGCUAAGAAAAAUUAAAUAACUCACCAAAGGUCACAGCCAGUAAGAAGAAGAGCUGGAAACCCAGGUUCAGUCAAACUUCAAGAGCCAUGUCUUUACUCACUAUGUGAUUAUGUCAGCCAUUUAAAGAGCAAACGGAAAGAAAGCAGAAGUUCUCCACUUAUCACCAGUCUCUGACCCUGGAAAUGCUCAGCUGGGAACUGAUGUGUCUGUUGUGAUGUCUGGAGGGACCACAGCUGGGUAACAUCACCAUGCCUGUGUAUGAGAAGGAAUGAUUUGCCCUCUUCCUUCUCACUCCAUCUGAUGCUCACUAAUGAGGUCCAGAGGUUUGAUCCUGCAGAGCCCAUCUCUCCCACAGUGGAGGGAAGGACAUUUGGUGCAAUGAUAAACUACCCUCACUCAAGCUAAAUAGACAGAAAGAUAUUAAAUGGAUGUAGUUAAACAAAAAAGCAAACAAAUUAUAGUUGACAUCAGAGUACCCCUUUCCUAGGUUACUCUGAUGGCAUAUCCUACCACUUAUUAGAUUUUUGCUAAGGAAACUUCCACUUGUGUUAAUUAACAA